GCCAUGGAAGGAGGUGGCGCCGACGCCGUUCUCGUCCGCGCGGGCCUAACCGCCGUAACCCUGACGUCCGGCUUGGCCGCUUACAGAGCCGCAGCGGCGAGAGACGUCGGCUCCACGGCGUUCGUGGCCGUCGGCUACGCCGCGCUGCUGCUGCUCUUCCUUAGGCUCCGCGCGUACGAGCGACUGCCGCCCGGGGCGGCCGCCCACGGGAGGGGGCGGCUGAGACGCGAGGUCUGGGCGCUGUGCACGCUGCUCACCGUGCUGUUCGCGUGGAAGGUCGCGGCGGCGAUGCCGUCGUGGCCCGUCGCGGCGGUCGUUUGGACGAUGGCUGCUGCCACCACGGUCGGUGGCUCUAUUGGCUUGUUCCGCCGCCAUCCGUGACGGAGGAACACUGCUCGAGUGAACCAUACACGUAAGGUUGGCCGGUUGGUUUGCCUGUUGAUGCAUCUUGUGUACGUCCGGCUAUGCUUGUAUAUCCGUCCGGAAUCCUGCAAAGGUUCAGAGUUCCUGAUGGGGCCGACUAUUGGCAUAUGACAUCGAAGAAUUCAUUCGUUUUGUCAUGGUGUGCUUGGGAGGUUAUCAUCGUUGCUCAAGCUUACUGAGGUGUGGAUGCUGGAGCAAGAGGAUCGCAGUCGUAAAUGGUUUGCCUGUAAAAUAAAGCAAGCUGAAAUGAAUUGUAUGAUUGUAUAUUUUAGAUUACACCGUCACCAAUUGUUUGUAUAUUCUCUAUUUUCUCUCUUUUAUGAGGACACUUAUUGUAUACUCUUAUAAGCGUUGCAAUAACAAGUAAAGAAUAAGUUGUUGAUCUAAGAAACAUUUUUCCACCAAUUGUAUUGCAAGUUGGUACAUAUCUUGUUCACAGUAUUAAUAAAAAGAUAAAAGAGAUGUUGUCUCACUAAAACAUGUUGCGA